ensembl:lncRNA
GGCUGAGGUUGCAGCACAGUGAAUAUACAAGAGCCAGAGUGACCUGGGCAAGUGGAUAACGAAUCGUCAGGAUUACACGUGGUGGCAGAAGGAUGAGGUUUGGAGUGGAAUUAUCGAGCUGAUGAUGGGAAAGUAUCGCUGCAUUCUACCGAGCGCAGCAGGAGGAAUCAACUCAUUUUCGGGAAGCAUAAGAAGGAAUGAAGAAGGCCAAGUUCAGCAUCCCUUGGGGUGCUCUGAUGUGAUGAACUCACGGAUUAGCCCAAGCCCAUUCCCACUCCCGUAGCUGCAUGGGAUCUGAUGGCAGCCUGCAGCUCACCCCCAACAGAGCACAGCGAUACAGGUCAGCUCAUCCAUAAACACGACCAGGCACCGAAACAGAGGCAAGGAAGAACAUACAGCCAGAGCACGGAGCGUGUUAACAGGUGUACAGGUUCAAGCUCCUAUUCCGUGACAACCUUUCUGUGGGCAAGUCAAUCAGUUUCUCUGUGCUGCAUUUAUGUAUUCAUAAAUUCAGAAUGAAACUAGUUUAUGGUCUCACAGGGCCACUAUGAAAGGCAAAUCAUAUUAAAUACUGUAACCUACUCUAGUACUGUGACACCAGCAGCAAUUUAAGAAGCAAAGAGAGAAAGAGGGAGGUUUUAUACACAGUUUGCCUUUGCGGGAGAUGAAGCGCAGACAGUGAUGUCACCCCUAAGGAGAGCAACACAACACUGGAAACAUUUGUGACUUCCUCCAUAGUAUACCCAGCGGCUGCCCACCACCUGCCAAGAGGCCAUCGAGAAGGGCGGCCAGGCUCUGUAUGGUGCUGCAUGGCAGUAGGACAAGAGACAACAUGAAGCGAAACAAGGGACCAAGAGAGGUUCAGACUUGCCAGAAGGAGAAGCUUUCCCCAGAAGGGAGCAUUUUGAAGCUGAGCCCUCUGUGAGCAGGAGAUUACUCUGGAAACCUCCUGAGGUCCCUUCCCACCUCCUCAGGCCUCUUCCUCCGCCAGUCAAAAUAGAAUCACGGAAUCAUAGAAUGGCCUGGGUUGAAAAGGACCACAAUGAUCAUCAAGUUUCAACCCCCCUGCUAUGUGCAGGGUCGCCAACCACCAGACCAGGCUGCCCAGAGCCACAUCCAGCCUGGCCUUCAAUGCCUCCAGGGAUGGGGCAUCCACAACCUCCUUGGGCAACCUGUUCCAGUGCGUCACCACCCUCUGUGUGAAAAACUUCCUCCUAAUAUCUAACCUAAACCUCCCCUGUCUCAGUUAAAAAAGAUAUAUAUCCUUGUCUUUGUUAAUGGCAAAGAAGGAGAGAUCACUGUGGAAAGGUAUUCAUGUUUUAAAAGAUUGUUUAUGCAGAUAUCAUAUCUGGAAAAAGUCCCUGCUAAGUGCACCGUAUCUGUUAAACACCUGAGGACAUGGAACAAGUCCUAAUGCGGUGCCUGGUUCAUACUUCUCAGCAGAUAUUAUCUCUUAAUUUCUUUUACAUGGCAGAUGAGAAGGUAUUUUCCCUUCAGUCAGAAACAAACACGCAUUUGUUUCCGACAUCACAGGUACCGCUGAGAAAUGGGCUUCCUGCUGUGUUUUUUUCUGUUCCUGUUUUGAACAAUACAUAAACUAUCCUAUUAAGAACAGAAAAAGGGCCUGGAGUUAGAAAUGCCUCUACCUACAACAAUACCUCAGGACUGCUGGCAUUACAACACUAUCACAUAUGCAAGCAACAGUAGUAAGAUGUCAAGGAGAUAAAGGAGGAACCGGAGAUGGUAUUUCCAUGAAUGAAACUGAAAAUACGGGUGCCAUGGCAAGUCCCUGGCUGCCCUGCUAUCUUCCCACCAGCUGUGUGUAGGUGUUUCUGCUGGGCUGAGGGAGAGGUGCGGGCUCAGAGGAGCAGCUCUUCUGUGCAAGCAGUGGAAAGGGCAGUGUGUGUGUGCAUCCUCGGGCGACCAGCCCGUACAGACCUGAUGGAGCUUGACUGAGGGUGUUAUUUAUUUCUUCUUUUCAUGAACUCCUCUGUGAGCCCACAGGAAGACACUGUCUCAAAUAGGCGUUCGUCUCUCCAUCCUUCUCCUCUCACUUACUGGUAGCUACAACUCUGUGACAGCCUGAUGGGAGCCCUUGGGAACUGUUCUUGCUUACUUGUAAAGAAGUAUAAAACUCUGUUCUGAAAUUAAAAAGAAAAUAUUAAGGUUGAAGAAGAACUGGGUGGUGAAUUAAGCUGAGAAAAACGCCUGUAGGAAAUUCACAGUGAAUGCUCCUUUGUCCAGAGUUAGCCUCUCUCAAGCAUGUUCCCUUACACAGUGUAUGCCAACAUAUAGAUUUGUGGAUUGUUUUUUAUUUGUACAGGUGAACAGUGACAAUAAUUCAUGGUUCAGGUUGUCUAGAGGACUGGGAAGUAAUGAUAAUAGACUUAGUUCCUUCAGUAGUGUCCAAAAAGUGAUGGUUAGAGCUGAAUAAUUCAGAAAGUUUUCAGGUAAUCUUAGCUUAGGCCCUGAUCUUCCCAAGGCAAUGCUCAUACUUCAUUUCUGGCUUGCACAGUCACGCUGAACGCAAUGGCAGCAGGGUAACACAUCUGAAGCUAAGCUUAUCAUAAAUCAACUUUCUGUAUCAGGGCCUCUAUCACAGUCUGUUCAGAGAUAUGCCACAGGAAAAGAAAAAGGGUAAAUAAGUUUGCUAUGGCCCCAUUUAAAUUCCUUUUGUGUUCGUUUCCUCUGACAGUUUGGGAAAUAGACCUUCAGUAAUAAAAAAAAAAAGAAAAUACAGAAAAGAAUGAGAAAACAGUGAUAGAGAAGGAUGAGGAAACAGUGUUUAAAGCCACAUGUAAGUUCUUGUGAAAACCAAAUAGUGUGUUUGCAUAUGCUAGCAUUCAGGCUAGGUGUUCCCGCACGAUUCCUGUCAGGAAAAAGAUACCAUGCAUAUGAUUUAUCAGGCAGCCACCGACUAUGUACUGUGGAUAUUUGCUUUCAAUCCACCGAGUUCAAGAUUAGAAAAGGUAUCUGUUGAAUUCAUUUGAAUAGCAAAUAGACUGGGGAAUCACAAUCUGUUCCUAGCUAUUCAAUGGAUGAUAACCGGUAAUUCAUUAAAUAUAUUAGUCUCUCCAUUCUAAUAAUUAUUAGAGCAGAGACAGAAGUUUGAAAACAAUCAUUUCGAGAACAGUGCAGCAUUUCUAUGUGCAAGUGAUAAGUGACAUAUUUCAGCACGUGCGCUCCUUGGCUUCUGGAUCAGCCACAGUCACCUCGUGACAAAUCUCCUUGGCUGCUGCUUGGUGGAUAGCUGACAGUGCACCCCACACAGCACAGGUAUGAGGACUUCUAAGAUCAAAGCAGAAGUUAGCAACGUUAUCCAUGUGGCAUUACAUCUUGACCCCUGCGUGUAUGUACAGUUACGGAAGUUAGUCACCUACAGUGCUUACAAAUUAAUUUCAGCAAACAGUUGAGUUGAUCGGCACUGUGAGCAUAAGGAAGCAGACCUUGGGCAUUUUCAUCUUGCAUGAAACCGUGAAUGAAUGGACUUUGAGGACAACUGGUAGGGGAAAAAAAAAAAAAAGCAAAAGCACUUUUGGGAGAGGAGAGCGCUGAGAUCCAUCAGUAUUCAGUAUUUCUGGGAGGAAGGCUCUAUCUGUAGGGAAUCUGGCCAGGACUAAGGCAGGUUUGUGAUCUCCUUUCCAGGCAGCUUUUCCACAGGGUGCUCAUCCUGUUGGAAUUGCGGCUGGAAGACCACAGCCUUGCAUGGUGACUCAUAAUUUGGAGAACCAAGUAGAAAUUCAGCCUCUCUGAUUCACAGAGGAUUUAGGAAAUGCUUGCUCUUAGCUCAGAAGCCAUUUCAUCAGCUGAAGGCAGAAGCAGGUGGAUGCCCACAGAAACAUCUGGAAAGUCAGCAUUACACGUGGAAAGAAGACAGAGCACUAAGAGAGAUGGCAGACUGCCAUUCGGUUUUCACUCAGUUAAUAUGUUCCCUCCUCCACUUGCUCACUAUGUCUUUCCAGGCUUCAUAAUCUCUGGUGGACAUACCAAGGGGUGGAGCUGGGCUGGCAACCAUCGCCAUGCAUCACUGCUCCUACAAACACAUAGUACUAGUAUGGGCAGACGGCAUCGUUGUGCUGAUCAUCAUCCUCUGAGUCAGCCAUUUGCAAACACCUUCUCCAGGCUGUCAUCUUGCCACUAGGAAUUCAAAAUCUGAGUCAGAACCCAAUUUAAACUGCUAUAAUUAACAGUCCCGAUUUAACCGAAUCUCACAGUUUGUCAUGUUGCAUUCUCUGUGUACAUCUGAAAAUCUCUCUCCAGGGCUCCCAAAGAGCCUCGGUGGUUUCAGGCUCCCACCAAGACCAAGUCCAACAGCCACCAAACAAACCUGUCCUUGCUGGAUUCAUCUCACCAUUAAAUACAGAAAUAUCAAAGAUGAUGGGUUGGAUGUUGACGUGGACUUUUCUAUAAAUACUGCUGAUGAGGGCAAAGCCCGGGUGCCACAUGAAGGAAAGAAGGGUGGAAGUAUCUCACUUGCUCAGAAGCCCCAAAAAACUUAGAAUGGUUGAGACUCCUAUGAAGGAGAUAAUUAUACACUGCACAAGCUAAAAACAAGCACUUUUUUUCUUUAUUGUUUCUAAAUGAUGUUAUUAUGAAUGAAAAUUCACUCUGAGGAAGGUCUCCAGUUACUGUGGAUGCUUAGGAGAGCCCCUGAGUUUACUUUUAGGGAACGCAGUGCUAUUGCAAAUAAGGUGACCUGGGGACUAUCUGAUGGUUUUGCAGCCAUAAGUGACAGCAAGCUGGACUGUGGGUGGAAGUGCAUUUUUGAAAACACUUAUUUUUACGAUUUAAGGAGGAAUUUUUAUGUCCUCUGCUUUUUUUCUUUACUUUCAUCUGACCAUCAGGGAGCACUUCUGUGCUGCACAGGUGGCAGAACAGUGGCACAGGCUGCCCAGAGGCUGCGGAGCCCCCUCUUUGGAGCUCUUCAGAAGAUGCCUGAGCACACUGCUCCAGGCGUCCCUGCUUGGGCAGGGGUUGGGCCAGAUGGACUCUGAGGUCCCUACCACCCCCAGCCUUGAUGGAAUUCUGUGAUUCCUUUCAAUUCUCUGAAUGAUGGAUUUAGUCUUUUGUGUUGUGCUGCUAUUGUUUUUGCAGAGCUAUUUCAAGGCUGCCACUGUGAGCUCCCCUCUCAACCUAAGUGCUGCACUACUGUAGCUGGAGAGCCAUCCACUUAGCGUUCACAUAGGCGAAACAUUUGAGGGACAUAAAGAGAGGGACUCUUUAUCCGGGAGUGUAACAAUAAGACAAGGGAUAACGGCUUUAAACUAAAAGAGGGGAGAUUUAGAUUAGUUGUUUGGAAGAAAUUCUUCACAAUGAGGCUGGUGAGGCACUGGAGCAGACUGCCCAGAGAAGCCAUGAAUGUCCCAUAGCUGAAAUUGCUCAAGGCCAGGUUGGAUGGGACUUUGGGCAACCUGAUCUAGUGGAAGCGGUCCCUACCCACGACAGAGGACUUGGAACAAAAUAGUCUUUCAGGUAUCUUCUAACUCAAGCAAUUCUGUGAUUCUUCAGUUCUACGACUCUAUGAAGAGAUUGCCUCAAUUUCAUAUAGCAGAUGAUCAGACAAGUUGGGAUUAUUGCCAUGGCUUCAAAUCUGCUUGAGAUAGUCUGUGCCCUAAACUACACUUAUUUAGCUGCCUUGAUAUUUCGCUGUCAUUCCUCUUCAUCCUGAGCUUCCCAUGUACACCCACUAGGGAUUUCAUUCUGUGAACACUUCCAGCUGAAACUGUACCAUGGAAUUUUUAAUGAUACUUAGACAUUGCCUCGCUUUCUUUCAGAAAUAUCUACAUGUCAAAAAUUAUGGACGUUUCUAAAGAAGUCACUGAGCUAAAGACUUCUAAAGAAGUCACAUCCUGUCAUGCCAGAUGUGUCAAACCUUCAUGUUUCAGCGCUGAUCAAUUUACUGUCUUCUCAUGACGUUGUCUUCAUUAUUUUAGCAUGAGUUUUACAUAUCAGCAUAUAAAUUAUCAUUGUAUAUCUUUGGAGACAAAGAGAAACGCAUUUUUUGACGAUAGGAUUUUAAAUAUCUUGAAUGUAUUUCCAUACUGAAUCAGGAAAGUGUUCCUCAUAUCUAACUCUGGUUUUUCAUUGGCUUUUAGAUACUGUGUGCAUACAUUACGUCAUAUUUAUAGUAGUAUAUGUCUGUACAUAAACUUACACAUACGCAGAAAAAAAAAUCAAAUCGAGAUGUCAUUUAUACUCUCAAUGACCAAGCUGGGGAACAAAAUUUUGCCUCAUCACACAUCUUUCUACUUCAGUGAAUUAUUUUUAUUGAUGUCACAAGUCUUAAUUUUAAAUCCAGUUUUGAUGAAAAAAGUAGCUGAUCAUCUGCCCUGUUAUUAUACAAAAUACAUUUAUAUCGAGUGGUAGGAAAUAUAAUUUGUAGAAUGAUUAAUUACAUAAUGAUUAUAGUGGAGAAAUAUAUUCUCUAACAAAAUUUGUUAAAUGGAGGAAUUUAAUAUGAAAUAGUAGAUUUCCAAAUUUAUACAAAUAACACCAGAUGGUGAGUAGCUAGUUUUAAUUAAAUUAAGUUUGAUAAUUAUAGCUGAUUAAUUUUUAGGUUUGACUCAGAUUAGAAAGAAUGCACUAUUUUCCUGUAGAUUUAUUUUUAGCUCCCUUGCAAGGCUGUGAAUAUCAGUGUGUGCUGAGGUCCGGCCAGGUCCCACAGCUGCCAGCUCGCAGCAUCUCUGUGGGACCCAGCGGUACUCCUGCAGCUGGGAGGAUGCUCGGGCCAGGACCACCUGAUGGAAGUCAGAAGUAGUUUUGCCAAUGGAAGAAGGAGGAAGUUUCUGCCGCAGGACCAAAAUAUGUUUUCACAACCCAAUCUACUGACUCAGCUGCUUUGAACAAAGAGAAGAGCUCAACGUGACCUCUUUGCAUAUGCACACAAUUGCACAUGCUGCAGCUUGUGUCCUGGGACAUCUUCUCAGGGAGGAACAUGUAAAGGCUGAAGCCUGGUAGCAAAGAGUCCCAGAGCUUGUCCCCCACUCUAGCACACUCGGUCUCAUCACUGCUUUCCAUAAGAUCAUCUGACCUGGUCCCACAGUUGAUCUGACCAGGUCCCAGUGGUUCCACUGAACCACAGAAAUAUGCUUAAAGCCACGAAUGUGUACAAGCUCUUUUCAGACUGUGGAAAGAGACCAAAUCUUACUCUGCAGGACCUACAACCUGAUGCUCCGUGCUCACCGCUCUGUGGGAAUCACCUCCCACCUUUGGAUCAAGUGAAGUGUAAUGUGGACAAAUCAGAAUCCACACAGGCCUUUCUCACUGAUACAGGCUUUGCAGUUUCAGCUACAAGACCAAGUGAACAUUUUCAUCAUUUUUUUGGGCUACAUCUGCAAAAUGGGUGCUGCCUUCAGAGAUGUCUGGGAAGGAUCAGUUUCUCCCUAGCAGCAAGAGGCUGAAUGUAAUGUUUGUCUGAGAGUAACUGUGAGACAUUUUCUGAUGAUCAGGGAAGGACUCAUUCAGCAUGCUUGAGCUUGUGGUGUGCUUCUCAACUGCUUGGGCUGUUAACCUGUCUCCUGGUGCCUGUACACCAUAAAAAGAAGUAGGGACUGAAAAGAUUUGAUUCAUUGUCUCAUCACAGCACAAAAGUACACUGAAUAUUGUAAUUAAAAUUAAAUAUUGUAAUUAUAAUUGAACAUUACAAUUUAAAAAUUGAAUAUUGAAUUAAACAGAGUUUUAAGUAGAUGCCUACAACUGCUCUAAGCUAUCAGGUGCUUCUGACUUCCAGCAAAUAACACGUUAGGCUACAAGAAGCCAGUCUGAGAGCAUACUCUCCAUUCUGGAUGAUAUGAAACUUAAAAGAUGCCUUAAAUAAUUUCUCACUGCAGAGCUUUCUCAGAGCCAGCACUUGGACUGGCACUCAGGCAAGGUGGUGCUGUCCUGCCUCCUCCCUCUCAAGUCCCUUCUCUUUUAUCUCAGUUUUCUCUCUGCAGGGUUCUUCUUCCAUUAUCUGCCUAGUGCAAAUCCAGUCUCCUCCUCUGCUUUCUUUUUUGUGUGCGUGUGCUGAAAAGUGGCCUCCCUGAAUUUGUGUUAUAUUGAUUAUGUAAAUCAGCGCUUCUCCUCUAGAUUGCUUUUUCUUUGUGAACUGGGAGUAUAAUUUGCAGUCUUCUACCUGAUAAUUGUGAGUAUAAUUUGAGCUGUCUCUUUGUGGAGUCAUCAGUGACUGUUUUAAUUUCCAUAUGUGAGCGGUGCUAUUUUUCUUUAACUUUUUUUUUCCUUAAUCCUGCCUCUUUCUGAACUAAUGGAUUGAUUCUGCUGCUCAUAAUAGCAUCACCUGAAGUGUAUUUUGGAAUUUCUGCUGCUGCUGAGAUUGAAAUUUAUCUACAGUGUGACACAUUUCUCAACAUUUUCAGAAAAGACAUAAUCAUGUAACUAUCAACCUGACAAUAAAAUUGUCUAUCUGUAAUGGAAAAUGGAGG